GACCUCGUUGGUGAUGUGGUCGGUGUAGCGGAUCUUCAAAAUCCGGCGAAGACAUCGCUGCUGAAAGAUGUCGAGCUUGGUGUUGAUGCAGGCCGACACCUUCAAGUCUCGCUGGCACAAAUGGCGGUUGGGAUCACGAUCGAAUUAAGCAAGCAGAGUUUGAUUUUGAGGGAGAUGGUCGGGGAGGACCAGAUCUUGUUCAUCCUCCGAAAUAUCGCAGCCGCCUUUCCAGUGCGGCAUUUAACAUCCACCUCCACAUCGCCGUCAUGGGAAAUCACGCUACCGAGCAUGUGGAUUAAAAUGCUACACAUGUGCAGCUGCAGAUCCUAAAUCCUGCACAGACACCACAUCUUGUGCAUUCAUCUUCAACCGUUGUUUCUCUGGCAGAGUAGAUGGUCUUAAUGUAGUUACAAAGGGCUGCCUAAACAGUGUAGCAUGUGUUUGGCCUAUGUCUUGCUGUGAAGGGGACCUGUGUAACAGCACUAUUCCAACUGGUCCCAGUGCCAUCCUGCUGCUGGUAUCUUCAGCCAUCCUCAAAUUUCUUUUCUGAGCCUGUAGAAUGAUGUUGUUUCCAUACUGCAUUUUUUCGUAUUCUAUUUUGUACAACUAGAGAAGAAAAUAAAGAAAAUAAAAAACAUAAAAAUGCCAUGAUAUGAAAUAAAAAUGUCAUUGCUAUUUUGAUCUGUCAUUUAAAGUAAUCCUGUCACAGCCCUGGAUCGGUGACCCAGUGUUUUAUGUAUUAUUGUUAUUUUAUGAUUUCUUCGUGGUUUGAUUUCCAGUAUUUAGUAUGGGUUUAGUUCUGUGCCAGUCUGUUUCCUGUUUUACUUUGAAAGUUCGUGUCUCAUGUUAGUGUGUCUGGUUUUGCUCCCUUGUCUCAUUAGGUCUGAUUUGUCUCAGCUGUGUUUACUUCCUGUCUCCCUGAUUGCUCCCUCUGUGUAUUUAUGUCCUGUGUUUCUCUUUGUCAGUGUUGCGUUGUACCCUCAUACUAGCCUGUGUUCUGGUUUUCAUGCACAGUUUUUGGCUAUCCCAGUUUAGGUUUUGUUUUGUCUUUUGCCAACAAUAAAGUUGUUUAAGUUCACUUCCUGUUUUGGAGUCUGCGUUUGGGUCCUUUUCCUGCCUGCCUGCCCACAGAGCCAUGACAAAUCCACAGUCUGCCGUAUUCACAUACUUUAUUGCUUGAAUGUAAACUUUUCCUAAAUCAAUUAUAAAGAGCACUUUGAAGAUUUUUUUGAGAAAUAUUUUGGUUUAUAAACUUUUCAGACCACUUUAUAUAUACUUUUAUAUAAUUUUUCACUUAAAACUACCCUGUGGUUGAACUACAUAAAGUAAAGCAUGAUGGGAGUUUGUUUUACAAUGACAACUCUCUAAGCCACACUUACUUCCUGUGUCUGUACACAAAUAGAGCACAACAGAAAAGUUCUAACAAUUUGUUGUAAAAAAAAAAAAAAAAACAACAAAAUAAAAUAAAAAUGCUCUGUUCAAAUGGUCUCUCAUGAGACAUAAAGAAAACACAGAAUUCAAAUUAAAAACAACUAGCACUUACACCAAGGGUACCUUAAAUUUAUAGUCACACUGAACAUGGCAAGUUUCCCUGUGUGAACACAUGUAGAGAGC
ensembl:lncRNA